GCACUGUUAAACCCGAAGUUCGCUGUAAAAAUUCGGGUACCGGGAGGCUCUAUCCAAAUAGUUUUUUUUUUUGGCUUUUCGGGUUUAGAUUCGGGUUUUCGGGUUCGGGAUUAGGGUAACGGGUUUUCUAUCUAGCCCUAGGUGCCAAGCCAAUGCGCAACAGUGCACUGGCGUUGGACACAAACCUAUACAGCGUCCGCCGCCCACCGCCUACACGGCUACACCUUCCUCUCUCCGGCGACCUCCCGAAACAGAACUGACUCGCAUGGUCUUCGCUCCGUCGCGAGGCCCACGUUAGCGGAGCCUCCCACUCUCUGGCUCAACUGCCUACGUCUGGACCAGAUCCUCCAUGAGCUCGCGGGAGUGCAUUGGUGGCGCGACGCGACCAACGUCGUCUCGACCCUCCUUAGCGGCAACCGAAGACCUGAAUCCUACAAAGGCACAUGCAUGUGGUGGCCAGGAGGAGGCUCAGAUCUGGAAUCCAGUCCGAAUGUUCCUGACAAGCCAACUGCAACAACGAUUAUUGCUUCAAUUUUAGCGAUCUAUUUUUUCUAACUUGCAAACCAACAUGCUCAAAAUUGCAGUCAAAUUAGCAAUGUUGUCAGAUACCAAUCCUCCAACUCUGAAAUUCGUGAGGUUGCUGCAACGACCAGACUGAACAUUAUUCAUUUUGUUUAAAAGUAUGUACUACAAGAGAAUAAUCGGUUGUCAUAUGAAUGUCAUAAACAGGGUAUGUGCUUCUAACACUUGCAUAUUUGGAUGGAUGAUGUUUAUGGACGGAUAGAGAUGUUCCCCUAAUACUUUGUACCGUCAAAAGAUGCUAUGGACACUAUAAUGGUCUAUUAACAAGUUAAUACAUGAUUUGCCUACUGUCAGCCUUCUAUGGUAGGGCCUAAAAGCUGGGAACAAAAAACAAAAGUAUGAAAAGAUCAACGAAAGGAAAAUUGCUACUUCAACUGAGGCUCUCUGCCAUGGAUAUCCUACCGAAUUUGCUUCUUACUUCCAUUAUUGUCGCUCACUGCGUUUCGAAGAUGCACCGGACUAUCAGUACCUGAAGAGACUGUUCAGAGACCUUUUUAUUCGGGAAGUCGAGGAUUCCAGUGUUGACGUAUCAGCAGCGACAGAAAAUUUCCAGAGCUUAAGCCUACAUAAUGAUGAGUUAGCUGCAAAAAAGACUGCUGAAGAUAACCCUGUAGUGUUAAUUCCUGGUCAUUUGCAAGUUACCAAUACAGAAUGUGUUAGUUUGAGCUUUGGCAGUUUUGGAUCUGGUGCAUUUUCUAGGCUACUCCCACAAAAGACCACUGAUAGCAAUGUGGAAUUCCUUGUUUGAGAGGAUUCUGCAACAGUAGAUCCAAUAGAUGCCAGGAAUCAAGAUUACUAUGAAAGUGGUGCAAUAACUUCACCAGCAGAAGAAAAUCUUGAGGCCAUGCUAGGAACUAACAUGGAGAAGUCGAUGCACCUUCUGUUUCACAGGCUAAUGAGCUCAGUCAGGACGUACUUGAUCCUUUUGUACUUAAAUAUGACGUGCCAUCAGUUUCAAGUCAUGCUUAUUCAAACAUGAACACUCCACAACCUAGCACAAUAGAGGACCCACAAGGAAACAACCAAGCACAUACUCUUUCCCAUUUGUCUAACAUGAUGGAUUAUGGCUCUCAUCAAGUGACUCCUCCCCCUCACGAUGACUUUGCGGACAGAUGUCUCAAUUCUAGUGGUGCAGCUACGAACAACAAUCUGAUGUCCUGAUCGAGAGCGAUGGAGCUAAUGUUCAAACUUGUGUGUUUGAACUUGUGAACUAAAAAUGUGAACUGUGGAUGUGAACUUAUGUGAAUUUGUGAACUUAUGUAUUUGGACUUGUGUGAAAUUGUGAUAUGAACAUAUAUCCAUGUGUUUGAAAUCUGUAUUGUAUGUGAUAUUCUGUGUUGCAUGUGAUUUUAUGUUUGUCUAAUUUUUCAUUUCU